AUCCCAUGGUAGGGACAUUGUCUUAAUAAUUCUUUAAAUCUUUCCCAAGCAUCAAACAAAGAUUCAUCUUCCCCUUGUCUAAAUUAGGUGAUCUCAUUUCUCAUAUU